AGUGAACGCUGGCGGCAGGCCUAACACAUGCAAGUCGAGCGGCAGCGCAGCAGUAGCAAUACUGUGGGCGGCGAGCGGCGGACGGGUGAGGAAUGCGUCGGAAUCUGCCUCUUUGUGGGGGAUAACGUAGGGAAACUUACGCUAAUACCGCAUACGACCUACGGGUGAAAGUGGGGGACCUUCGGGCCUCACGCAGAGAG
rnacentral:rRNA from 1 species